ensembl:lncRNA
AGCCAGACUACCUUCGUACACAAUUACUCAAUCCACCGUAAGGCUCUUUAAUAAGAAACAAGUGUGACAACGGCAAGGCUCUUUUCCCCCUUUCUCUCUCUUUCUCUCCUCCUCCUCCUCCCUCCCUCUUAAACCACAGAGUCAAAUAGCUCUAAUAGAGAUGAAGCUUGAUAGAUCCGCCCAGGUGUAGGUGAAAUGGUAGAGCCUCAGGGGUAAUAGAUGCUGUGCUUGCUUGCUGGAGUUUAGUGUUCUGUCCUGACCGGCUCUCCAGAGCUACGCUGACACCGGCUGCUCCUUGUACAGUUACAAAGUCAACAUGCUUCUUGCUGCUCACGUCUGUGCCUAACCCAGAGGGCAACCUGGAGCUAGGUAGGAGCCACAGAUCAGCCCUCGGACUCCAGCUCAAGGACAAAGGACCACAGAUGCAGCAAAUUUAAAGCACAAUCCAUGGGACAGCCUGUAACGUGACAAAGAAAAGACCUCAUCAAGAAAUAUCUUCAUCCCUGCAGGAACUUAAAAUAACAAGUGGCCAGGUCCUUAAAAUAACAAGUUGAACUGAAGAAAUCUGUCUUAGGCAGUAAAAUCUUGGAAGAGCAUUGACUCUAAUAAUGAGAUUAAUGAUGAAUGCAAGAUUGAAGGUAAAAAAAUCAUAAAAGUUUUGCAAGUAACAGAUAUCAACAAGGACACAGAGAAGACCAACCUCUGAUGCUUUCCAGAAGAGACCAAAGAAGGGUAAAUGUUAGCUGCAGAGUAUUCGCUCAUGACAAUAAAUCUGAAUGUUUCUGCUAGUUUUAGAUUUACU